UACGGGGGGGGCAAGCGUUGUUCGGAAUUACUGGGCGUAAAGGGCUCGUAGGUGGCCAACUAAGUCGGACGUGAAAUCCCUCAGCUUAACUGGGGAACUGCGUCCGAUACUGGAUGGCUUGAGUUUGGGAGAGGGAUGCGGAAUUCUUGGUGUAGCGGUGAAAUGCGUAGAUAUCAAGAGGAACACCUGAGGUGAAGACGGGUUGCUGGGCUGACACUGACGCUGAGGCGCGAAAGCCAGGGGAGCAAACGGG
rnacentral:rRNA from 1 species